AUCAGUCAUUUAUCGAUUAUUCAAUAUAGUUCCUCUUCUGAUAGCAUUUAAUACUUUCUAAAAGUUUUUGCCACCAUCACAAUUCCCCUCCACUUUACUCUGUCUUGCACUCCUAAUUUAUUGAAAUUGUCAAUAUACCAACUCCCAAAAAUAAUUGUAAAAAAAAUAAGGACAAUAUACUGUUUUAGAAUGUUUUCAUACAAGUCAUUUAUAAAAAAUAUGUAUUUUAUGCAAAAUUUUACUAUAACAUACAUUUCUAAAUCCUUGUAUGUAUAUUAAUAUUGUGUGAACAAUAUAUAGAAGUAAACCAGACAUUAUACCAGUACUAGGUAGUAAUAUAUUAAACUCAUGAACCACGAUGCACACAUCCAUAUUUUGACAGUAGAUAAAUCAAC